UACGGAGGGUGCAAGCGUUGUUCGGAAUGACUGGGCGUAAAGAGCACGUAGGUGGGUAUGUAAGUUAGUUGUGAAACACCUGGGCUUAACCUAGGUCUUGCAGUUAAUACUACAUGUCUUGAAUACUAGAGGGGAUGGCGGAAUUCCUGGUGUAGAAGUGAAAUUUGUAGAUAUCAGGAAGAACACCUGAGGCGAAAGUGGCUAUCUGGCUAUGUAUUGACACUGAGGUGCGAAAGCGUGGGGAGCAAAC
rnacentral:rRNA from 1 species